AUUGAACGCUGGCGGCAGGCCUAACACAUGCAAGUCGAACGAGUGGCGGACGGGUGAGUAAUGUCUGGGAAACUGCCUGAUGGAGGGGGAUAACUAGUGGAAACGGUCUCUAAUCCCGUCUCCAAUCAGAUGUGCCCAGAUGGGUGUGUCUUGUGGGUGGGGUAACGGCUCACCAAGGCGACGAUCCCGAGCUGGUAUGAGAGUAUGACCAGCCACACUGGAACUGAGACACGGUCCAGACUCCUACGGGAGGCAGCAGUGGGGAAUAUUGCACAAUGGGCGCAAGCCUGAUGCAGCCAUGCCGCGUGUAUGAAGAAGGCCUUCGGGUUGUAAAGUACUUUCAGCGGGGAGGCGUUACCCGCAGAAGAAGCACCGGCUAACUCCGUGCCAGCAGCCGCGGUAAUUC
rnacentral:rRNA from 1 species